ACCGUACUCCUACGGGAGGCAGCAGUGGGGAAUUGUUCGCAAUGGGCGCAAGCCUGACGACGCAACGCCGCGUGGAGGAUGAAGGUCUUCGGAUUGUAAACUCCUGUUGAUCGGGACGAAAAGCUUUGACCUAACACGUCAGAGACUGACGGUACCGGUUGAGGAAGCCACGGCUAACUCUGUGCCAGCAGCCGCGGUAAUACAGAGGUGGCAAGCGUUGUUCGGAAUUACUGGGCGUAAAGGGCGCGUAGGCGGCCUUCUAAGUCGGACGUGAAAGCCCCAGGCUUAACCUGGGAACUGCGUCCGAUACUGGAAGGCUUGGAUUCGGGAGAGGGAUGUGGAAUUCCAGGUGUAGCGGUGAAAUGCGUAGAUAUCUGGAGGAACACCGGUGGCGAAGGCGGCAUCCUGGACCGAGAUCGACGCUGAGGCGCGAAAGCUAGGGGAGCAAACGGGAUUAGAAACCCUUGUAGUCCUUGAC
rnacentral:rRNA from 1 species